rnacentral:ncRNA from 1 species
AUAUAUUAACCUUGUCAAAACUAGUACAGACAAGGGGAAUUAGACUAUUUAAUUCAAACAAAGCAUUGUGAUGGUCCCUACGGUUGCUAACACAAUGUGAUUUAUGCCCAUUUCUCUGCAUGUCAAAGUGAAGAAAUUCAACCAAGUGUGGGUAAAGGACGUGAGUAACUUUGACUCUCUUAAGGUAGCCAUUCAUCGUCAUCUAAUUAGUGACGCGCAUGAAUGGAUUAACAAGAUUCCUAUUGUCCCUAGCUACUAUCUAGAGAAACCAUGUCCAAGGGAACGGGCUUGUAAGAAUUAGCGGGGAACUAAGACCUUCUUGAGCUUGACUCUAGUCCGACUUUGUACUGAAAUGACUUGAGAGGUGUAGAAUAAGUGGGAGUCAUUUUGAUCUAUAACCCUAUGAAUCCUAGAACAUCAAACUCAUAUCCUAUAAAUUGUAAAUGAUAUAAUCUAUAAUACAAUAUAACCCUUUUAUUACCUAACACGCAUAACCUCUAUCAAAUUGAAUAUUUAACCCCUACAACACAUGU